GAUGAACGCUGACAGAAUGCUUAACACAUGCAAGUCUUUGGCGAAGCUGUGCUUGCACAGCCUAGCCAAGGCGGACGGGUGAGUAACGCGUAAGGAACUUGCCCUGCAGUCAGGGAUAACAGACGGAAACGACUGAUAAGACCUGGUAAAGUCAGGCGGACUCAUGUCCAGCCUGAUGAAAAGAGAUGCUGCAGGAGAGCCUUGCGUCCUAUUAGCUUGUUGGUGGGGUAACGGCCCACCAAGGCGAUGAUAGGUAGCCGGCCUGAGAGGGUGGACGGCCACAAGGGGACUGAGAUACGGCCCUUACUCCUACGGGAGGCAGCAGUGGGGAAUAUUGGACAAUGGGGGCAACCCUGAUCCAGCGAUUCUGUGUGCACGAUGAAGGUUUUCGGAUUGUAAAGUGCUUUCAGCAGGGAAGAAAAAAAUGACGGUACCUGCAGAAGAAGCGACGGCUAAAUACGUG
rnacentral:rRNA from 1 species